GCCCGCGUAGCUCAGGGGAUAGAGCGUCUGCCUCCGGAGCAGAAGGCCGCAGGUUCGAUUCCUGCCGCGGGCAC
rnacentral:tRNA from 1 species